AAUAUUGCACAAGGGGCGAAAGCCUGAUGCAGCAACGCCGCGUGAGUGAUGAAUGCCNNNGGGUCNUCAAGCUCGUUGAUCAGNGACNAGAAUUACAGUACCUGAAAAACAAUCCCCGGCUAACUACGUGCCAUCAGCCGCGGUAAUACGUAUGUUGCGAGCGUUGUCCGGAAUUACUGGGCGUAAAGGAUGCGUAGGUGGAUACUCAAGUGGGAUGUGAAAUCCCCGGGCUCAACCCGGGAACUGCAUUCCAAACUGGGUAUCUAGAGUGCAGGAGAGGAAAGCGGAAUUCCUAGUGUAGCGGUGAAAUGCGUAGAUAUUAGGAGGAACACCAGUGGCGAAGGCGGCUUUCUGGACUGUAACUGACACUGAGGCAUGAAAGCGUGGGUAGCAAACAGG
rnacentral:rRNA from 1 species